UACGGGGGGGGCAAGCGUUGUUCGGAAUUACUGGGCGUAAAGGGCUCGUAGGCUGCCAACUAAGUCAGACGUGAAAUCCCUCGGCUUAACCGGGGAACUGCGUCUGAUACUGGAUGGCUUGAGAUUGGGAGAGGGAUGCGGAAUUCCAGGUGUAGCGGUGAAAUGCGUAGAUAUCUGGAGGAAUACCGGUGGCGAAGGCGGCAUCCUGGACCGGCAUUGACGCUGAGGAGCGAAAGCCAGGGGAGCAAACGGG
rnacentral:rRNA from 1 species